UACGAGGGAUCCUAGCGUUGUUCGGAAUCAUUGGGCGUAAAGGGUGUGUAGGCGGCCAUGUAAGUCAGUUGUGAAAGCCCCGGGCUCAACCCCGGGAAGUGCUUCUGAUACUGCGUGGCUUGAGUAUUGGAUAGGUGAGUGGAAUUCCAGGUGUAGUGGUGAAAUACGUAGAUAUCUGGAGGAACACCGGCGGCGAAGGCGGCUCACUGGCCAUAUACUGACGCUGAAACACGAA
rnacentral:rRNA from 1 species